rnacentral:lncRNA from 1 species
GUUCAGGGAGAAGCGUCAUAUGUCAAGAGGACCCGAGGGGGGCACCAGAGUCUUCAGGAGGCAGCUCUCUCAGAAGCAAACCUCUGAAUUCUGCACUGGAACCUUUGCUAAAGGCUGCCAAGACCCAGAGACUCUGUGCAGAUCAGACCUAGAUGGGAACACCUGCUCACAUCAUCUGAAAGUUUCGCUGAAUUACCUCGGGAUAGCUCACAGCCAAGACCUCAGGGAGACACAUGAGGAAUGAGGAAGAGGAAUCCUGAUCCAGAGAUGAAUUACUGCCUCCUCCAACCCUUCAAGGUGGCAGAAGGCUAUGGUACCAAGUCCAGGAGCCAACGUGCUGGAAUUCAUCUUGGGUCUCCUACUGAGGAAAUGGCUCUACAUAAGAAUAUGGGAGAGGAAAACCCAAAGUGGGCCCAUGAGAAACUCGAUAGUUAAGCUUCAGGCCUGUUGGGGAAUGAUGGACAGACCUUUCAGAGCUUCUGAAAGUUGGGGAUCACAUUUCCUAAAGAUACAACAGGAAAUUGAUUCCAAACAGCAGAAAGAAGUACAGGGAAUCAUGGAAUUGGCCUGGUCUAGCUGUCUUGAGAGGUGUGGGUCGUGGAGUUUUCAGGUUAGGGUCUGUGGCUUCUGGGGCACUAUGUGCCUUUCAAUUCCUGAGAAACUGAGUCACUCCCUCGGGUAGUGAAACAUUCAUGCCAACUGUAUUCUCUGUAUCCCAAAGAAAUCAGUGAAGCAUAUAAGAAGGCUGGACAAUUAGUCUUAGACAUUAAUCUUGUGUGCAAUCAUUGUAUCCUGGCAGUUAUAAUUCUAUUCUUCUUUGUAGCUGCCAUUAUAUUCUGUAUCUGAUAAGGGUAUAAAAAGUCUGAUUGCUUGCAAUAAACUUGUCUCAACCUUAGGUUUUCGGAGACCCCUUCAA